AACUGCACUGUUGACUGGAGAACUCAUCACUAGUUCAGCCUUGAUAUAAAUCAUGUUCACUUUGUAUCUGUUGCCGUUGCUGGCCGCAGUGUCUGGUAUUGACUCUCAGGUUGUGCUCACACAGUCUGAACAGUCAGUAGUUGUGGCUCCAGGAGGUUCCCACAAACUGACCUGUGCAUGUAGUGGAUUCACUCUUAGUGGCACUAACAUGUAUUGGAUCCGCCAGGCACCUGGAAAAGGACUGGAAUGGAUUAUUUAUUAUUAUUCAGAUUCUGAUAAGAGCUCAGCUCAGUCAGUCCAGGGCAGGUUCACUGCAACUAAGGACAGCUCUAAUUUCUAUCUGCACAUGAAUCAGCUGAAGACUGAAGACGCUGCAGUGUAUUACUGUGCAAGAGACACUGUGGAAACACUAAUACAGGCAGCUGCUCAAAAACUCAUGAGAAAUGAAGUGGACAUGGUUGAGUUACACUGAAAAAAGGGAAGAGUC